AACGAACGCUGGCGGCAUGCCUAACACAUGCAAGUCGAACGAGACCUUCGGGUCUAGUGGCGUACGGGUGCGUAACGCGUGGGAACCUGCCCUUAGGUUCGGAAUAACUCCCCGACAGGGGUGCUAAUACCGGAUAAUGUCUUCGGACCAAAGAUUUAUCGCCCUUGGAUGGGCCCGCGUUGGAUUAGCUAGUUGGUAGGGUAAAAGCCUACCAAGGCGACGAUCCAUAGCUGGUCGGAGAGGAUGAUCAGCCACACUGGGGCUGAGACACGGCCCAGACUCCUACGCAAGGGAGCAGUGGGUAAUAUUGGACAAUGGGCGAAAGCCUGAUCCAGCAAUGCCGCGUGAGUGAUGAAGGCCUUAGGGUUGUAAAGCUCUUUUACCCGGGAUGAUAAUGACAGUACCGGGAGAAUAAGCUCCGGCUAACUCCGUG
rnacentral:rRNA from 1 species